GCAGUCGGACGGUCUGUCGCUGGUGUUUCGGCACAAGAGGAAAGUCCGGGCAACGCAGAGCAUCCUACUUCCUAACAGAAAGCUAUCCGCGAGGGUAGAGUAAUGCAGAAGAAAAUAACCGCCGCUCCUACCCGGAGAGGUAAGGGUGAGAAGGUAGGGUAAGAGCCUACCAGCCGCGUGGUGACACGCGGGCUGUGCAUCUUAGGAGUUGUAAGGUCGUGUAAACCGGCAUUAACGAGGGUUGCUCGCCCCACGUCGGAGGGUAGACCGCUAGAGCCUUUUGGUGACAAAGGGCGUAGAUAAAUGACAGACACCUUGUAUUAUAUAAGGAACAGAACCCGGCUUACAGGCCGGCUGCUUUU
rfam:Bacteroides sp. CAG:702 genomic scaffold, scf181